rnacentral:misc_RNA from 1 species
UGAAGCUGUGAAGAGACUAUGUCCAAAGCGAGCUCUUUUAAUUGGAAUGACUCAUGAGUUUGAUCAUUACAAGGACAAUGAUUUCCUAAUGGAAUGGUCUAAAAGGGAAGGAAUACCAGUGCAGCUUGCACAUGAUGGUAUGAGAGUUCCUAUAGAAUUGUGAUAAGGUUGGUAUAUGAGCUGUAAGAUAGGCACAUGGUUCCCAAUUCCAUCUCAUACUAAUGGGAGGAAUAAACAAAGUGAAACUAUUUAUGGCCUUCCCUAUGUCCAACUUGUACUGGC